rnacentral:rRNA from 1 species
GAUGAACGCUGGCGGCGUGCCUAAUACAUGCAAGUCGAGCGAACAGACGAGGAGCUUGCUCCCCUGACGUUAGCGGCGGACGGGUGAGUAACACGUGGAUAACCUACCUAUAAGACUGGGAUAACUUCGGGAAACCGGAGCUAAUACCGGAUAAUAUAUUGAACCGCAUGGUUCAAUAGUGAAAUACGGUUUUGCUGUCACUUAUAGAUGGAUCCGCGCCGCAUUAGCUAGUUGGUAAGGUAACGGCUUACCAAGGCAACGAUGCGUAGCCGACCUGAGAGGGUGAUAGGCCACACUGGAACUGAGACACGGUCCAGACUCCUACGGGAGGCAGCAGUAGGGAAUCUUCCGCAAUGGGCGAAAGCAUGACGGAGCAACGCCGCGUGAGUGAUGAAGGUCUUCGGAUCGUAAAACUCUGUUAUUAGGGAAGAACAAAUGUGUAAGUAACUAUGCACGUCUUGACGGUACCUAAUCAGAAAGCCACGGCUAACUACGUG